GUGCUAGCUUUGGCAAAGCACAUAUACUAAAAUUAGAACAAUACAGAGAAUAUUAGCAUGGCCCCUUAAAAAUUACAAAAAAAAGAAAAAAGAAAAAAUUAU
rfam:Nomascus leucogenys chromosome 8, whole genome shotgun sequence.